rnacentral:rRNA from 1 species
ACAUUUGAUCAAAGAAAAUAAAAAUACACCCGAUCGUGUCUGAUCUCGGAAGCUAAGCAGGGUCAUUCCUGGUUAGUACUUGGAUGGCAGACCGCCUGGAAAAACCUGGUGCUGUAGGCU